UAUAUAUCGAUAUCAGCCGAUACACGAU
rnacentral:sRNA from 1 species